rnacentral:rRNA from 1 species
AUUGAACGCUGGCGGCAGGCCUAACACAUGCAAGUCGAACGAGUGGCGGACGGGAGAGUAGUGUCUGGGAAACGGCGCGAGGGAGGGGGAUAACCAAUGGAAACGUGAGCUAAUACCGCAUACCAUGGGAUGUGCCCAGCUGGGAUUAGAUAGUGGGUGGGGUAACGGCUCACCUAGGCCACGAUCCCUAGCUGGUCUGAGAGGAUGACCAGCCACCCUGGAACUGAGACACGGUCCAGACUCCUACGGGCGGCAGCAGUGGGGAAUAUUGCACAUUGGGCGCAAGCCUGAUGCAGCCAUGCCGCGUGUGUGAAGAAGGCCUUCGGGUUGUAAAGUACUUUCAGCGAGGAGGCGUUACUCGCAGAAGAAGCACCGGCUAACUCCGUGCCAGCAGCCGCGGUAAUUC